CCGAAUUUAUUUAUUUUUUCUAAAUUUUGAUGCUCACAGACAUGAAUUUAAUUAAACUCAAUUCUCCUAUUUUAAAGAAAUAAAAUUUUGGGUGUUACAAGUUAUUGGCAAGAAGCCGGUCUGAGCACGUGAGGUGACGUGGCCACGUACAGACGCUGGUCGACGGCGCUGCAGCAGAGCUGCUGCUCCGGCGGAGGGCGCCUACUACCUCGGCAGAGGCGCUUGUGAUAGUGGUCUUCCCCAUAGACGCUCUAAGUAGCCCGAAAAGAGCUCGCCGAAAGAGUUGUUGGAGUUGGCCGGUGGCGACAAGAAGAGAGAAAUUUAAAAUUUACUGCACAAUGGAUUUUCCAAACUAGGGGCUUCCCAUAUG
rnacentral:lncRNA from 1 species